AGGUGCUGCAUGGCUGUCGUCAGCUCGUGUCGUGAGAUGUUGGGUUAAGUCCCGCAACGAGCGCAACCCUUGUCAUUAGUUGCUACGAAAGGGCACUCUAAUGAGACUGCCGGUGACAAACCGGAGGAAGGUGGGGAUGACGUCAAGUCCUCAUGGCCCUUAUGGGUAGGGCUUCACACGUCAUACAAUGGUACAUACAGAGCGCCGCCAACCCGCGAGGGGGAGCUAAUCGCAGAAAGUGUAUCGUAGUCCGGAUUGUAGUCUGCAACUCGACUACAUGAAGUUGGAAUCGCUAGUAAUCGCGGAUCAGCAUGUCGCGGUGAAUACGUUCCCGGGUCUUG
rnacentral:rRNA from 1 species